UUCCGGUUGAUCCCGCCGGACCUGACUGCUAUCGGAUUGAUACUAAGCCAUGCGAGUCAUUGUAGCAAUACAAGGCAGACGGCUCAGUAACGCGUAGUCAACCUACCCUAUGGACGGGGAUAACCUCGGGAAACUGAGAAUAAUACCCGAUAGAACAUUAUACCUGGAAUGGUUUAUGUUUCAAAUAAUUUAUUGCCGUAGGAUGGGACUGCGGCCUAUCAGUUUGUUGGUGAGGUAAUGGCCCACCAAGACUAUUACAGGUACGGGCUCUGAGAGGAGUAGCCCGGAGAUGGGUACUGAGACACGGACCCAGGCCCUAUGGGGCGCAGCAGGCGAGAAAACUUUGCAAUGUGCGAAAGCACGACAAGGUUAAUCCGAGUGGUUUCUGCUAAAGGAACCUUUUGUUAGUCAUAGAACCACUAAUGAAUAAGGGGUGGGCAAGUUCUGGUGUCAGCCGCCGCGGUAAAACCAGCACCUCAAGUGGUCAGGAUGAUUAUUGGGCCUAAAGCAUCCGUAGCCUGCUUUGUUAGUUUUCGGUUAAAUCCAUACGCUCAACGUAUGGGCUGCCGGGAAUACUGCAAAGCUAGGGAGUGGGAGAGGUAGACGGUACUCGGUAGGAAGGGGUAAAAUCCUUUGAUCUAUUGAUGACCACCUGUGGCGAAGGCGGUCUACCAGAACACGUCCGACGGUGAGGGAUGAAAGCUGGGGGAGCAAACCGGAUUAGAUACCCGGGUAGUCCCAGCUGUAAACUAUGCAAACUCGGUGAUGCAUUGGCUUGAUGCCAAUGCAGUGCCGCAGGGAAGCCGUUAAGUUUGCCGCCUGGGAAGUACGUACGCAAGUAUGAAACUUAAAGGAAUUGGCGGGGGAGCACCACAAGGGUGAAGCCUGCGGUUCAAUUGGAGUCAACGCCGGAA
rnacentral:rRNA from 1 species